UGAUUUAUUGGAUGAGUUAAGUUGUCUGUUUUGGUAGCUGCUGUCAGAAGUAAUUGAGUUUGCUGCCAGUUAUGGCUGAAAUGUUAAUUUUUUUUAAAUUGUUCCUGUUGUCCCUGCUAGCUGGUGGAGAACAUGAAGUAAAUGGCUUCAAUUUUGGAUCUGCUGACAAACCUGAAGAAAGCGAGGUGAUGCUGGACCAUUCUCAAUCAUUUGUCUACAAGCCUCUGUUUCCUGUUGAUCCCUCUACAGUAGGGGGACAGUUGCACCCUCAGCAUCCCAGCUACCUGCCCAAGGUGCCCCCUCAGCAUCAUGGUUACCUGCCCAAGGUGCCUCCCCAACAGCACGGUUAACCACCCAAGGCACCCCAGCAUGAGCCCGAGGUGCCCACUCAGCUUAACGGUUACCCACCCAAGGUGCCCCAGUAUGACCCAAAGGGGCCCCCACAGCUUCACAAUAACACAGCCAAGGUGCCCCAGGAUGAGCCAAAGGUGCCCCCCUCAGCAUGACAGUUACCUGCCCAAGAUGCAUGAGCACAACAUUUCUCCGCAGCAUCAUAUACCAGCCCAAGAUGCCACAGAAUGAACAUGAGGUUCCUACCCAGCAACACGGUUACCAGCCCAAGAUGCCACAGAAUGAACACAAGGUUCCUCCACAGCAACACGGUUACCAGCCCAAAAUGCCACAGAAUGAACACAAGGUUCCUACCCAGCAACACGGUUACCAGCCCAAGAUGCCACAGAAUGAACACAAG